GCCCCUGUCGUCCAAUGGCUAGGACAUCACCAUUCCCAUCGGAAAAUCUCGGUGAAGAUCGGCGUUCAAAUCGUCGGAGGGGCG